rnacentral:lncRNA from 1 species
ACUCUUUGGGCUGCUAUUAACCACCACACCUUCCACCAAAGGAGAGGGCAAAAUCCCAAAGGAAGACAAGCAAUUUGAUGCAGAUGGAGAUGAUGAUGAUGGUGACGAUGACGAUGAUGGAGAUGGUGGUUUCGGAGAGGGUGAAGAUGACUUGUCAUCUGAAGACGGAGGUGGAUACGGCAACAAUUCCUCCAACAACAAGAGCAAUGCAAAGAAGGCUCCUGAAGGUGGUGCUGCUGGUGGGGCAGAAGAGAAUGGAGAAGAGGAUGACGAAGGCGACGACCAAGACGAUGAUGAUGAGGAAGAGGAUGAAGACGAUGAUGAAGAGGAUGAGGGUGGAGAAGACGAAGAUGAAGGCGGAGAAGAGGACGAGGAUGGUGUCGAUGAGGAAGAUAAUGAAGAUGAGGAAGAAGAUGAAGACGAGGAAGCUUUGCAGCCACCAAAGAAAAGGAAGAAGUAAAUUUAGCUUAGCAAUCUAGCCUCCAAUUUGUGUUGUUGUGUACGAAUUUGGGUCCUAACUUCCAUGUUUUUUUAUUUAGUACUCCCAUGUUUUUAUGUAGUUUAUAAGGAGGCCUAUGUAGGACAUGUUUUAAUUGAUAUGUGUUUCCCAUUGCGUAAUUAGAAUGCUACAUUAUAUUGAGCGGGCAUUGUUAAAUUUAACAGGAAAAAAUUGUGAUAUUAGUUUUUAUCACCUACAUUGACCC